rnacentral:rRNA from 1 species
CCUACGGGUGGCAGCAGUGGGGAAUAUUGCACAUUGGGGGAAACCCUGAUGCCUCUCCUCCUCUUUCUCGAUGAAGUAUUUCGGUAUGUAAAGCUCUAUCAGUAGGGAAGAAAAUGACGGUACCUGACUAAGAAGCCCCGGCUAACUAGGUGCCAGCAGCCGCGGUAAUACGUAGGGGGCAAGCGUUAUCCGGAUUUACUGGGGGUAAAGGGAGCGUAGACGGUCCUGCAAGCCAGAUGUGAAAGCCCGGGGCUCAACCCCGGGACUGCAUUUGGAACUGUAAGGCUAGAGUGUCGGAGAGGCAGGCGGAAUUCCUAGUGUAGCGGUGAAAUGCGUAGAUAUUAGGAGGAACACCAGUGGCGAAGGCGGCCUGCUGGACGAUGACUGACGUUGAGGCUCGAAAGCGUGGGGAGCAAACAGGAUUAGAUACCCUGGUAGUC